UCCCGCUUAGCUCAGUUGGUAGAGCGCGUCACUAGUAUCCGCUCCUAAUUUCAAAAGGAGAAUACAAUGACGAGGUCAGUCGUUCGAGUCGGCUAGUGGGAA